rnacentral:rRNA from 1 species
AUUGAACGCUGGCGGCAUGCCUUACACAUGCAAGUCGAACGAGUGCAGGGAGGGUGAGUAAUGUACGGGACACUUCAUGAUGGCGGGGGAUAAAUACUGGAAACGGUAGCUACUACCGCAGACACUCGGAUGUGCCACGAUGGCAUUGGCUAGUAGGUGGGGAAAAGGCUCACCUAGGCGACGAUCCCUAGAUGGUCUGAGAGGCAGACCGUCCACACUGGAACUGAGACACGGCCCAGACUCCUGCGGGAGGCAGCAGUGGGGAAUAUUGGACAAUGGGCGCAAGCCUGAUGCAGCCAUGCCGCGUGUAUGAAGAAGGCCUUCGGGUUGUAAAGUACUUUCAGCGGGUAAGCGUUACCCGCAGAAUAAGCACCGGCUAACUCCGUGCCAGCCGCCGCGGUAAUAC